GGUUGCUGGUUCAGAGCGUGUUCUACUACGUGUGCAAGGGCUUCCACCACCAGAUGAUCGACAAGAGCGCGCUGUAUGAUCACCUCGGAGGGUAUCUCGGGGAGUAUGUGCCUCUCAAGAGCUCGAUUCAGAUGGAAACCCUUUGAGCAGUAAGCACAAUGUAUCCCAUCUUUCUUUCUUUAUUUAGUAGCAGGGAACUGUUUUAGAUCUAGAAUUUGGUCUGCUUUACUAGAGAAUUGGUGUUGAGUGGAUAUAAUGAGCAGACCAAAUAUAUGCUUGGUGUAUCUUCGAC
rnacentral:misc_RNA from 1 species